GAGGAAUAUUGGACAAUGGGUGAGAGCCUGAUCCAGCCAUCCCGCGUGAAGGACGACGGCCCUAUGGGUUGUAAACUUCUUUUGUACAGGGAUAAACCUAUUUACGUGUAAAUAGCUGAAGGUACUGUACGAAUAAGCACCGGCUAACUCCGUGCCAGCAGCCGCGGUAAUACGGAGGGUGCAAGCGUUAUCCGGAUUUAUUGGGUUUAAAGGGUCCGUAGGCGGAUGUGUAAGUCAGUGGUGAAAUCUCACAGCUUAACUGUGAAACUGCCAUUGAUACUGCAUGUCUUGAGUGUUGUUGAAGUAGCUGGAAUAAGUAGUGUAGCGGUGAAAUGCAUAGAUAUUACUUAGAACACCAAUUGCGAAGGCAGGUUACUAAGCAACAACUGACGCUGAUGGACGAAAGCGUGGGGAGCGAAC
rnacentral:rRNA from 1 species